rnacentral:rRNA from 1 species
AUCUACGGCCAUGCCACCCUGAACAAGAUCGAUGUCUGAUCUUGGAAGCUAAGCAGGGUCUGGACUGGUUAGUACUUGGAUGGGAGAUCACCUAGGAAGACCAGAUGCUGUAGGCA